AGCAUAUCAAUAAGCGGAGGAAAAGAAACCAACAGGGAUUGCCUCAGUAACGGCGAGUGAAGCGGCAACAGCUCAAAUUUGAAAUCUGGCCCUUUCAGGGUCCGAGUUGUAAUUUGUAGAGGAUGUUUCGGCGAGUGCUCCCGUCUAAGUUCCUUGGAACAGGACGUCAUAGAGGGUGAGAAUCCCGUAUGUGAUGGGUUGCGCGAGCCAUGUGAAACUCCUUCGACGAGUCGAGUUGUUUGGGAAUGCAGCUCUAAAUGGGAGGUAAAUUUCUUCUAAAGCUAAAUACCGGCCAGAGACCGAUAGCGCACAAGUAGAGUGAUCGAAAGAUGAAAAGCACUUUGGAAAGAGAGUUAAAAAGUACGUGAAAUUGUUGAAAGGGAAGCGCUUGCAACCAGACUUGCUCGCAGUUGCUCAACCCGCCUCCUGGUGGGUGUACUCUUCUGCGGUCAGGCCAGCAUCAGUUCGGGCGGUCGGAUAAAGGCGUCGGGAAUGUAGCUCCCCUCGGGGAGUGUUAUAGCCCGGCGUGGCAUGCGACCUGUCCGGACUGAGGAUCUCGCUUCGGCUAGGAUGCUGGCGUAAUGGUUGUAAGCGGCCCGUCUUGAAACACGGACCAAGGAGUCUAACAUCUAUGCGAGUGUUUGGGUGUCAAACCCAUGCGCGUAAUGAAAGUGAACGGAGGUGGGAACCCGCGAGGGCGCACCAUCGACCGAUCCUGAUGUCUUCGGAUGGAUUUGAGUAUGAGCAUAGCUGUUGGGACCCGAAAGAUGGUGAACUAUGCCUGAAUAGGGUGAAGUCAGAGGAAACUCUGAUGGAGGCUCGCAGCGGUUCUGACGUGCAAAUCGAUCGUCAAAUUUGGGUAUAGGGGCGAAAGACUAAUCGAACCAUCUAGUAGCUGGUUCCUGCCGA
rnacentral:rRNA from 1 species